rnacentral:rRNA from 1 species
GGUGAACGCUGGCGGCGUGCCUAAUACAUGCAAGUCGAGCGAACAGACGAGGAGCUUGCUCCUUUGACGUUAGCGGCGGACGGGUGAGUAACACGUGGGUAACCUACCUAUAAGACUGGGAUAACUUCGGGAAACCGGAGCUAAUACCGGAUAAUAUUUCGAACCGCAUGGUUCGAUAGUGAAAGAUGGCUUUGCUAUCACUUAUAGAUGGACCUGCGCCGUAUUAGCUAGUUGGUAAGGUAACGGCUUACCAAGGCAACGAUACGUAGCCGACCUGAGAGGGUGAUCGGCCACACUGGAACUGAGACACGGUCCAGACUCCUACGGGAGGCAGCAGUAGGGAAUCUUCCGCAAUGGGCGAAAGCCUGACGGAGCAACGCCGCGUGAGUGAUGAAGGUCUUCGGAUCGUAAAACUCUGUUAUUAGGGAAGAACAAACGUGUAAGUAACUGUGCACGUCUUGACGGUACCUAAUCAGAAAGCCACGGCUAACUACGUG